GCAGCAGCCGCGGGAAUACGAAGGGGGCAAGCGUUGUUCGGAAUUACUGGGCGUAAAGGGCGCGUAGGCGGUGCACUAAGUCAGGCGUGAAAGCCCUGGGCUCAACCCGGGAACUGCGCUUGAUACUGGUGCGCUUGAAUCCAGGAGAGGUUGGUGGAAUUCCCAGUGUAGAGGUGAAAUUCGUAGAGAUUGGGAAGAACACCGGUGGCGAAGGCGGCCAACUGGACUGGUAUUGACGCUGAGGCGCGAAAGCGUGGGGAGCAAACAGGAUUAGAUACCCCGGUAGUCCCUGUCUCUUAUAC
rnacentral:rRNA from 1 species